AAAAAAAAAAAAAAGAAUAAAAUUAACAAAACCACUUGAGGGAGUCUAGCCUAGGUCCGAGGCGGACAAGCAUGGAGGUUGUGUCCUGUCAGUGGGGCUGCUGGUUCUGGCUCCUAGGUCUGGCAGCAUAGAAGGGUCCUGUUUAGGAUCGGGUGGCCUCAGAAGUCACGCCUGAGACCCGGACUUCUAAGGUGAAGAAAAUGCUCGAACAGCAGGCCCCCUGAAGAGUGGAAGGGCAAUGGAUUGGAAAACUUCGACAUGGGGAGAAGAAACGUGAUUUAAAAUAAAGAACCUUCAAGACAUUAUGUUUCUUUUUUGUAGCAUUCUGGAAAAUUUGAGAACAAGUUGGCGACAUCUUUCAGCUGGAACCAUUGCUCAUCAAGUUUGCUGAGAAGCUAAUGAUUUUAUUACAGAAAGCUACAUCGUCAUGUACAGUGUCCAGGUGCAGUGGUGUAUGACUUUAAUCCCAGUCACCUUGGAGGCUAAGGAGGGAGGAUCGCAUGAGCCCAUGAAUUGGAGACCGCCUGUGCAACAGAAAUUGGAGAAUGAAAAUGAAAAGUUCAUGGAAAAAAAAUGGAUUUAAGUAAGUCUGCAGUACCAUUUUCUGGGAACUGGCCUUUGAUGAUGGUCUUCUGAACUUCUCUUGGCUUUCUUGCAUCAGGGCCCUAUUUGCUAUUGUGUCAUCCUUUGCAUUUUGGGUCAUCAUCUCAUUUGGGUAGAGCACAUCCUUUUGCAGCUUCCUUAGCAAUGAGUGUGUGGGAGGUACAUUUUUGUGUUGUUUUGUAUAUAUGAUGUCUAAGUUGAUAUAGAAGUCUAAAGUUUUCUACAUAUGCUUUGAUUUUGUUUUGUUAAAUCCACCAUGCGACCAGCGCACUGGUUUCAUUAAUGAGGUUCUUGGCAUAAAAGUUAGCUAGUGAGAUCGAAAUAAAACACACAGACUCAGUUACCUUUUUCUAUGACCAGGCCCUAGACGGCUCCCCUCUCUGUUUCCCACCUCGAACCACCCUGUAGGCCAGCAAGGAUUACUCAGGGCUAGCAGGAGAGAGACAGAGGGAGCACGCCAGGGAGUAGCCUUUUAUUGGGGAACAAGAAAUUCAGGGGAGAAUUCCAUCCAAUGAAGGUUGAGGGGGGCCACACUCCAAGGUCAGGGUCAGUGAUUGGCCCCCAGGGUCAGUGGUCAGUCACGCCCCCACAUGGACAGGCUCUCUCAUCAGGAAAGGGCCGGGAAAGCUCCAACACAGUUAGCCAGAGCGCCUCAGACCCAAACCGGGAGUUGCCCAGUCACGUGUGAGAAUGGCUUCCCACAGUUAAACAUUAUAGUUUCUGCUGUCGGGAUUCUUUCACACAUGGAGUUCAGAGGGAGGCAGUCCUAGGACUGGUUCGGUCUCCCAGGGGUGUCAUGAGGACACAGACUUCCCUCUUCUUCGAGCUCCUAUAUCUUCAUCCUGUCAACCUGAAGACCAGGGUUUUAGGCUUUAGCUUUUAAAGUGUCUAUUCACAAGUCAGGCAAGGAAGAAACAGUUACCUCUACAGUUUGAAGGAAAAAGUCUGCAGAAUAUGCCACACAAAUUUUGGGAAUGCUACCUAGAAUUUGAUUUUCAUUUCCAUUUUGUCUAAGAGGUGUCAUUGACUUCUGAUUUGUCCACCGCUGUACUGAAACUUCUACUUUGGGAUUUAAAUGUUUAAUUUUAUUCUUGACAUAUGAAUAUUCUUGACAUGAAUAUUCUUCUUUCAUACAACUUAUUUAAAGAUUGAACUAUUCUAUAUAUAUUUUUUUCAACCAAGAGUUUCAUUAGGGGGCUGCCGGAAGAGGAAGAAAAGGAGAGGCAAAGAGCAGAGAGAAGAGAGAAAGAGGUCAGAGAGCAGAGGGGAAGAGGGCAGAGACCGUGAGCUUGCAAGCUUCGGCUUAAGAAGGGUUGCGUAGGCUAUGUGGAGGGUGUCCCACGGGGAUUGGUUGAGAGAACUUUUGCAUUUGGUGCUCUUUGGCUUGGCAUUCUUGGAGAGGAGGGGGAGGGGUAAGGGAUUCCAAGAUGUUCUUGCAAGAUGGAAACUUAACUUCAGAGGGGAGUGUCACCCACACACCCAACAUUCCUCCCUUUUUGUUUUAUGUUGGGAGCAGGGCGACAAGAUCCACAAGAUCAUCUAUUUCCUGCUGGAGAGGGACAAGUGUGAAGGAAGGGAGGCUGGUCAGGGUGCGGGGACAAAAGAAGCAUAGCUGUGAAGGCCAGGGUGCUGAAGAUGUGAAUUUCCUUGCGGCUGAAAUCGAUGAAAGUUCCUCGAAGCCACAGGUCAUGGAUAGUCUCUAUCCAACCCUUGUCCCUUGUCCUGUUGGAGGGCCUCCAGGAACUCCACGAACCAGCCAGCCACGCUGCAUGAGCCUGAAAACACCAAAGAUACCAUUCAUAGGCUGAUGGUGGAUUCGAAGGAGGCCAACGAGAAAAUGGGCGCUGGUUAGUCUCCGCUCACGUGGUGAUCUCUGGUGGGAUGGGAGUCCUGCUUAAAAGCAGGGGAGUCCCAUCCUAGUCUGGGCACCAAUGAAAGGCGAAUGACUCACGAGACAGAGAUUCAACCAAGAGAUUUUACUGGGGUCUGCCCAAAGAGGAAGAAAAGGAGAGGUAGAGCAGAGAGAGGAGAGGGAGAAGAGGAAGAGAGCAGAGAGCUGAACAUGUUCUACAUUUUUGAAGUAAUAAAUUCAUGGUAUCUAAAAAAAAAGCAUUUGAGGAUGAGGAAAGUAGCUCAGUGGUAGACUGUUUUCCUAGCAUGUAUGAAGUCCUGGGUUCAAACCCCAGCACCAUACACACAAAGCACAAACAACAGCAGAAAAACACACUCUUGAAAGAUUUCAAAUGUAUUGUUAUGUUUUAUUCAUGGUUUUUUUUUUUUUUGGUGGUGCUGGGG
rnacentral:lncRNA from 1 species